CAAGGGUUUGAGUCACGACCUAAGUAUAAUUCUGAAGAGAUUAAAACUUUAAUAUGUUAAUGUUUAAUAAUGGUGAAUAGUUAGUUAGCUUUUAUAAUUAAAAGUAAAAAUGUAAUUUUUUAGUCCAGGGGACACAAAAAUUUAAAUUUUGAGAGUAUAAGUCAUUUGUGCCAGCAGCUGCGGUCAUACCGGAAUAUUAAGCUAGUAAUGAUUUAUUUAUAAUUUAUUUGAAAAUUAUGAAUUUAUUAAAUUUUAUGUAAUUAGGGAGUGAAAUUUGUAAUUAAAAUAAAGAAGAAUAAGUGAGUUGUUGAGAAUGAAAUUUUGAAAUGAAGUAAUAUAGACUAGGAUUAGAUACCCUAUUAUUCGUUAAUUAAAGAUUUUAAGUAUUGGUAGUAUAUUGAGAUUUAAACCUAAGAGAUUUGGCGGUACUCGUUACUUAUUAGAGAAAUUUGCUUUAAAAAAUCGAUAACCCCCGAAAAAUCUUACUUCUGUUAGUAUAAAUAAGUUUGUAUACCGUCAUAGAUGUGAUUUCUAAAGAUUAUAAAUCAUUUAAUUAGCUUAGUUAAGCAAGACAUUAGAUCAAGGUGCAGCUAAUAUAGAAGGUUAGAGUGAAUUGCAGUAUAGUUUUAUAGGAUUGUUUGGAAAAAAAGUUGAAAAUGAUUUCGAAAUUGGAUUUAAUAGUAAUAAUAUUUUAAUAAGAUAUUUUGAUUAUAGUUCUGGAGUAUGUACAUAUCGCCCGUCGCUCUCGUUUAAAAGAUGAGAUAAGUCGUAACAUAGUAGGUGUACUGGAAAGUGUACCUAGAAUUCA
rnacentral:ncRNA from 1 species